AAUGAACGCUGGCGGCAGGCUUAACACAUGCAAGUCGAGCGAGCGGCGGACGGGUGAGUAAUGUCUGGGAAACUGCCUGAUGGAGGGGGAUAACUACUGGAAACGUUAGCUAAUAACGCAUACCAUCAGAUGUGCCCAGAUGGGAUUAGCUAGUAGGUUGGGUAAUGGCUCACAUAGGCGACGAUCCCUCGCUGGUCUGAGAGGGUGACCAGCCACACUGGAAAUGAGACACGGUCCAGACGCCUACGGUAGGCAGCAGUGGGGAAUAUUGCGCAAUGGGCGCAAGCCUGAUGCAGCCAUGCCGCGUGUGUGAAGAAGGCCUUCGGGUUGUAAAGCGCUUUCAGCGAGGAGGCGUUACUCGCAGAAGAAGCACCGGCUAACUCCGUGCCAGCAGCCGCGGUAAUUC
rnacentral:rRNA from 1 species